rnacentral:lncRNA from 1 species
CCAGUCCGCGGAUUUCUGGGACUUGUAGUUCGAGGCCCGUAGGUGUAGGCGUGGGUCAGUCUCGGGAAUCCUGCGCUUCAGGUGUCGGAUUCCACGUGGGAGGUGAGACGCGCAGGACAGGCGACGCUGCGGGCAGGGAGGCGUUCUGUGGUUGGGAUGUGGGAGUGCCGCGGAGGUGGCGCAGGACCUCAGAGACCCGAAAUCCUGGCCGGCCGGCUGUGAGAGAGCGUGCGACCUGGAGGAGGACGCUGUCCUUCCAGAGAGGAGGCAAUGACCAAAUGCCAGGAGACUUGAAUGAAAAUUCUAUGGAGAAUCUUCAAGAAAAAGGACUUAGGGAUCUAUUACAUAGGGGCUUUUCUGCUGGCUAAUUUUAGAAGAUAUGACCAACACAGUAAGAGAGUCAGGAUUGUAUUGUGAAUCUUCCAGAAGAAGUGUACAGGAACCCUGAACUAGAUUUUUCCUUUUGUCAGAACUAGGGAGAAGCAUCUUCUGUAUUUCUGGAAACAAGAGCAGUGUAGUGACUCUUCAAAGUGAUGAUUACAAAAACAUAGCAAAUGAAGAAUAUUUGU